rnacentral:rRNA from 1 species
UACGGGGGGGGCAAGCGUUGUUCGGAAUUACUGGGCGUAAAGGGCUCGUAGGCGGCCAACUAAGUCGGACGUGAAAUCCCCAGGCUCAACCUGGGAACUGCGUCCGAUACUGGAUGGCUUGAAUCCGGGAGAGGGAUGCAGAAUUCCUGGUGUAGCGGUGAAAUGCGCAGAUAUCAGGAGGAACACCGGUGGCGAAGGCGGAUCUCUGGGCCGAUACUGACGCUGAGGAGCGAAAGCGUGGGGAGCGAACAGG